GACGAACGCUGGCGGCGUGCUUAACACAUGCAAGUCGAACGGAAAGGCCCUGCUUUUGUGGGGUGCUCGAGUGGCGAACGGGUGAGUAACACGUGAGUAACCUGCCCUUGACUUUGGGAUAACUUCAGGAAACUGGGGCUAAUACCGGAUAGGAGCUCCUGCUGCAUGGUGGGGGUUGGAAAGUUUCGGCGGUUGGGGAUGGACUCGCGGCUUAUCAGCUUGUUGGUGGGGUAGUGGCUUACCAAGGCUUUGACGGGUAGCCGGCCUGAGAGGGUGACCGGCCACAUUGGGACUGAGAUACGGACUAGACUCCUACGGGAGGCAGCAGUGGGGAAUAUUGCACAAUGGGCGGAAGCCUGAUGCAGCAACGCCGCGUGCGGGAUGACGGCCUUCGGGUUGUAAACCGCUUUCGCCUGUGACGAAGCGUGAGUGACGGUAAUGGGUAAAGAAGCACCGGCUAACUACGUG
rnacentral:rRNA from 1 species